ACAAACUUAGAACAACUCUAACACUCACACAAGCUUAUUACAGACAAACUCAUUCGUAUACACACCCUCACUACAGACAAGCUUUCUGACACACAUACACAUGAUCACUACAGACAAGCUCACUGACACACACAUUCUCAUUCCAGACAAACUCACUGACACACACAUGGUCACUACAGACAAGUUUAUUGACACAAAAAUGCUCCCUCCAGACAAGCUCACUGACACC